AGUGAACGCUGGCGGUAGGCCUAACACAUGCAAGUCGAACGGCAGCACAGAGGAGCUUGCUCCUUGGGUGGCGAGUGGCGGACGGGUGAGGAAUACAUCGGAAUCUACUCUGUCGUGGGGGAUAACGUAGGGAAACUUACGCUAAUACCGCAUACGACCUACGGGUGAAAGCAGGGGAUCUUCGGACCUUGCGCGAUUGAAUGAGCCGAUGUCGGAUUAGCUAGUUGGCGGGGUAAAGGCCCACCAAGGCGACGAUCCGUAGCUGGUCUGAGAGGAUGAUCAGCCACACUGGAACUGAGACACGGUCCAGACUCCGACGGGAGGCAGCAGUGGGGAAUAUUGGACAAUGGGCGCAAGCCUGAUCCAGCCAUACCGCGUGGGUGAAGAAGGCCGUCGGGUUGUAAAGCCCUUUUGUUGGGAAAGAAAUCCAUCUGGUUAAUACCCGGGUGGGAUGACGGUACCCAAAGAAUAAGCCCCGGCUAACUUCGUGCCAGCAGCCGCCGUAA
rnacentral:rRNA from 1 species